CGGUAAUUCCAGCUCCAAUAGCGUAUACUAAAGUUGUUGCAGUUAAAAAGCUCGUAGUUGGAUUUCUGCGGGGACGGAGCGGCCGGACGCAACUUGCGUCUCGAGCUAGCGCUUUCCCCGCAUCCUGCCGCGAACCGUGCUACCAUUAGUUUGGUGGCGCUGGGGAUCGGCUCGAUUACUUUGAGAAAAAUAGAGUGUUCAAAGCAGGCCACACGCCUUGAAUAAGUUAGCAUGGAAUAAUGACUAAGGACUUCGGUUCUAUUUUGUUGGUGUUCGGGACUGAAGUAAUGAUUGAUAGGGACAGUUGGGGCGGUCUGUAUUCCAAAGCGAGAGGUGAAAUUCUUAGACCUUCGGAAGACAAACAGCUGCGAAAGCGUUCCGCAAGGAUGCUCCCUUUGAUCAAGAACGAAAGUUGGGGGAUCGAAGACGAUCAGAUACCGUCGUAGUCUCAACUAUAAACUAUACCAGCUAGGGAUCGGUCAACGUUUAAUUAUUCGACUUGAUCGGCACCUUAUGAGAAAUCAAAGCAUCUGGGUUCCGGGGGGAGUAUGGUCGCAAGGCUGAAACUUAAAGGAAUUGACGGAAGGGCACCACCAGCCGUGGAGCCUGUGGCUUAAUUUGACUCAACACGGGAAAACUUACCAGGUCCAGACAUAGUAAGGAUUGACAGAUUGAUAGCUCUUUCUUGAUUCUGUGGGUGGUGGUGCAUGGCCGUUCUUAGUUGGUGGAGUGAUUUGUCUGGUUAAUUCCGUUAACGAACGAGACCCCAGCCUGCUAAAUAGCGCGGCUGAGCUUUGCUCGGUGCGAGCUUCUUAGAGGGACUAUGAUGCGCGAUAGCACAUGGAAGUUUGGGGCAAUAACAGGUCUGUGAUGCCCUUAGAUGUUCUGGGCCGCACACGGGCUACACUGGCGCCUGCAACGAGCAUAUCAGCUGGCCCGAGAGGGUCUUGGCUAAUCUUUUGAACCGGCGCCGUGCUUGGGAUUGACCUUUGCAAUUGUUGGUCAUGCAACGAGGAAUGCCUUGUAAACGCGAGUCAUCAGCUCGCAUUGAAUACGUUCCUGCCCUUUGUACACACCGCCCGUCGCUCCUACCGAUGAAUGUUCCGAUGAAAUUUUCGGAGAGCGCCAGAGAACGGGGCUCUGCCUUGCAGAUCUGGAGGCUCAAAGUCACUUAAAUCUGAACAUUUCGAGGAAGGAGAAGUCGUAACAAGGUUUCCGUAGGUGAACCUGCAGAAGGAUCA
rnacentral:rRNA from 1 species